rnacentral:lncRNA from 13 species
GACACUGGCUCAAACAACUCCCUUAUAAGACGUGUGUCCCUUACCUCCACUGUGACCAGAUCAUUAAUAGGUCUGAUCGGUCUCAUCUUUAUAUUCACGCCACAACCCAGACCUGUAAUGCCUGAUGGAAGACACACUCAACCACCAGAGAUUCCAGAGAAGUAUGUGCAGAUAGUCAAAAGGGAAUAGUCAGGUGAGUUUUGACCCCUGUCUCUAACCUCCAUGCUGUUUUAGUACGUUCUUUCUAGGCACCUCGAUUGGCUAGUGCUCUCUAAGUACUCUGAUUGGUCAUAAAUCCCGCCCCCAGGGUUUAGCCUCUGAGCCGAAAGUUAUCCUCAGGAAACGCUUCUUAAGCUGCUGUCUAGUUUGUGUGUGAUUUUUGUGUUCAAGUGCUGUCUUUGUGAGUGUGUUUGCGUCCCUGUUUCUUUCUGUACGUUUGGUGGUGUCUGCUUGUGUAUCUGCGCUUAUGUUUCUUAGUUUGUGUUUAUUAUUGUGAGGACACACACACUCCCUGGGUCUGCGUGGAAGGCUGUGUGUGUUCCCGUGGUCAAGCAGGUAUGUUGUGUUCUCUAGGCAUUAAGAACAGAAACCACUGAGGAUCUCACACCUACAGGUUAGGGGUGGUGGUGUGAGAGACUGGGACCGGAACUUGGAGCUGUGCUAAGGAAGGUCUGGUUCUAGAUACAGUGCUAGGGGCUGGGACUGGAACCUGGUGUCUGGUUGAGGCUGUAGUGAUGCAGCAGCAGAGGUCUUGUCUGUGGAGGUGGAGGGUCCUACUCUGGUCCACACUACUCCUCCUCAUUCCCCUCAGUGCCACAGGGCAUCUCUUUGCCAUUGUAGAAGAUGGCGUGUCUUUGGAGGAUGGGAGUGGUGACCCUGGUUUAGACCAAACUGUGAGAGGAGAAAAUUGUAAGUACCGGCAUAUGUUUAUGGCAAAUGCACCCAUCGUUCCGCUAAGCUUCUCCCUUGCU